rnacentral:rRNA from 1 species
GACGAACGCUGGCGGCGUGCUUAACACAUGCAAGUCGAACGGAGUGGCGAACGGGUGAGUAUUACGUGAGUAACCUGCCCUCAACUGUGGGAUAAGCCUGGGAAACUGGGUCUAAUACUGCAUAGUUGGGGAUGGGCUCGCGGCCUAUCAGCUUGUUGGUGGGGUGAUGGCCUACCAAGGCGGUGACGGGUAGCCGGCCUGAGGGGGUGGUAGGCCCCAUUGGGACGGGGUUACGGCCCAGACUCCUACGGGAGGCAGCAGUGGGGGAUAUUGCACAAUGGGGGCAAGCCGGAUGCAGCGACGCGGGGUGAGGGAUGAAGGUUUUCGGUGUGUAAACCUCUUUGGGUACAGAACGGGUAUGUGAAGAAGAAUCGCAGGCUAACUACGUGCCAGCAGCCGCGGUAAUAC